UACGAAGGGGGCUAGCGUUGCUCGGAAUCACUGGGCGUAAAGCGCACGUAGGCGGAUUGCUAAGUCAGGGGUGAAAUUUCGGAGCUUAACUCCGAAACUGCAUUUGAUACUGGCGUGCUUGAGGACUGGAGAGGAGACUGGAAUUCAUGGUGUAGCAGUGAAAUGCGUAGAGAUCAUGAGGAAGACCAGUGGCGAAGGCGGGUCUCUGGACAGUUCCUGACACUGAGGCACGAAGGCCAGGGGAGCAAACGGG
rnacentral:rRNA from 1 species